ACUCUAGUCUGACGUUGUGAAAUGACUUGGGAGGUGUAGAAUAAGUGGGAGGCUCUGCCGUCCGUGAAAUACCACUACUCUCAAUGUUGUUUUACUUAUACCAUGAUGUAGCAUCUGGGUGGCCUCGCGGUCGCUCAGUUCUAGUUGUAAUCUCGGGCUUUUGUCUGGGUGAGCUACGUGGAAGACAUCGUCAGGUGGGGAGU
rfam:Phytophthora sojae unplaced genomic scaffold PHYSOscaffold_23, whole genome shotgun sequence.